rnacentral:rRNA from 1 species
UACAGAGGUCUCAAGCGUUGUUCGGAUUCAUUGGGCGUAAAGGGUGCGUAGGCGGCGCGGUAAGUCGGGUGUGAAAUCUCGGAGCUUAACUCCGAAACUGCAUUCGAUACUGCCGUGCUUGAGGACUGGAGAGGAGACUGGAAUUUACGGUGUAGCGGUGAAAUGCGUAGAUAUCGUAAGGAAGACCAGUGGCGAAGGCGGGUAUCUGGACAGUUCCUGACGCUGAGGCACGAAGGCCAGGGGAGCAAACGGG